rnacentral:rRNA from 1 species
GAGGGUUGAUAGGUUAAGAGCUGGAUUAUUGGACGUUACCCACAGAAGAAGCACCGGCUAACUCCGUGCCAGCAGCCGCGGUAAUACGGAGGGGGCAAGCGUUAAUAGGAAUUACUGGGGGUAAAGGGUGUGUAGGUGGUUUGAUAAGUUAUCUGUGAAAGUCCUGGGCUCAACCUGGGAAGGUCAGAUAAGACUGUUAGACUUGAGUAUAGGAGAGGGUAGUGGAAUUUCCGGUGUAGCGGUGAAAUGCGUAGAGAUCGGAAGGAACACCAGUGGCGAAGGCGGCUACCUGGCCUAAUACUGACACUGAGGCACGAAAGCGUGGGGAGCAAACAGGAUUAGAUACCCUGGUAGUCCACGCUGUAAACGAUGUCGACUAGCCGUGGUAUCUAGCGGUG